UCCUGGGUGGCUACCUUUCCCUCUUUUGAAAGUUGACUUAUUGGGCGUUGGUGGUGCACGCCUUUAAUCCCGGCACUUGGAGGCAGAGGCAGGCGGAUCUCUUCAUCCAUGUUAGUUGACCCAGUGUGUCAACUCUUGUGACAAAAUGCUGCAAUGGAAAGGAAGCAGGUGUCUCUUCAGCACGCUGACCCCCUUCCUCUUGAAUACUGUCCAGUGCUUGUUUAUAUGGUGGAUUACGUUGAUGGAUUUUCGUAUGCUGAAC